rnacentral:tRNA from 1 species
GGCUCCGUGGCUAAAUGGUAACGGCUUCUGCGUCACAAGCAGAAGGUUCAGGGAUCAAAUCCCGGUCGGUACCU